UACCACCAUACCACCCUGAAUGCACCCAAUUUCUUCUGAUCUUGGAAGCUAGGCAGGGUCAGGCCUGGUUAGUACUUGGAAGGGAGAGGAGAGGUCUAAGUGGAAG
rnacentral:rRNA from 1 species